rnacentral:rRNA from 1 species
AUUGAACGCUGGCGGCAGGCCUAACACAUGCAAGUCGAGCGGCGCGGCGGACGGGUGAGUAAUGACUAGGAAUCUGCCUGGUAGUGGGGGAUCCCGUCCGGAGGCGGGCGCUAAUAACGCAUACUAUCAAAUGAGCCUCGGUCGGCUUAGCUAGUUGGUGGGGUAAAGGCAUACCAAGGCGACGAGGCGUAACCGGUCUGAGAGGAUGAUCAGUCACACUGGAACUGAGACACGGCCCAGACUCCUACGGGAGGCAGCAGUGGGGAAUCUUGGGCAAUGGGCGAAAGUCUGAUCCAGCCAUGCCGCGUGUGUGAAGAAGGUCUUCGGAUUGUAAAGCACUUUAAGUUGGGAGGCGUUACCAACAGAGUAAGCACCGGCUAACUUCGUGCCAGCAGCCGCGGUAAUUC